rnacentral:rRNA from 1 species
UCCGUAGGGUGCGAGCGUUGUCCGGAAUUACUGGGCGUAAAGGGCUCGUAGGCGGCCAACUAAGUCGGACGUGAAAUCCCUCGGCUUAACCGGGGAACUGCGUCCGAUACUGGAUGGCUUGAGUUCGGGAGAGGGAUGCGGAAUUCCAGGUGUAGCGGUGAAAUGCGUAGAUAUCUAGAGGAACACCGGUGGCGAAGGCGGCAUCCUGGACCGACACUGACGCUGAGGAGCGAAAGCCAGGGGAGCAAACGGG